rnacentral:rRNA from 1 species
UUGACGAACGCUGGCGGCGUGCCUAACACAUGCAAGUCGAGCGAUGAAGUUUUCUUCGGAAAACGGAUUAGCGGCGGACGGGUGAGUAACACGUGAGUAACCUGCCUCAAAGAGGGGGAUAGCCUUCCGAAAGGGAGAUUAAUACCGCAUAAUAUCAGAUGAUCGCAUGGUCGACUGAUUAAAGGAGCAAUCCGCUUUGAGAUGGACUCGCGGCGCAUUAGCUAGUUGGUAAGGUAACGGCUUACCAAGGCGACGAUGCGUAGCCGACCUGAGAGGGUGAUCGGCCACAUUGGGACUGAGACACGGCCCAGACUCCUACGGGAGGCAGCAGUGGGGAAUAUUGCGCAAUGGACGAAAGUCUGACGCAGCAACGCCGCGUGGGUGAUGAAGGUCUUCGGAUUGUAAAGCCCUGUCUUCGAGGACGAUAAUGACGGUACCCGAGGAGGAAGCCACGGCUAACUACGUGCCAGCAGCCGCGGUAAU